CUACAAUCUUUCAUAGAUCAUUUGGUUUAAUGGUACCUAAUUCCAAAGAGUAGGAAACCAAAUAGUUGUAUUAUCAGCUUCUUUGAUGAGGGGGAAUACUCACAACCAUAUUUGAAACCACCGCAUUUGGACCACCCUAUUUCUACACUUCUUCUUUCAGAAUCUACAAUGGCUUUCGGUCUCAUUCUUUCCGGUGAUCAUGAUGGAAAUUACAAAGGCCCGCUCAUUCUUACUCUGAAGGCAGGGUACAUAUACCAUCGGAGCCUUUUAUCA